GAGUUUGAUCGUGGCUCAGAACGAACGCUGGCGGCAGGCUUAACACAUGCAAGUCGAGCGCCCCGCAAGGGGAGCGGCAGACGGGUGAGUAACGCGUGGGGAUCUGCCUAGUGGUACGGAACAACUCAGAGAAAUUUGAGCUAAUACCGGAUGAUGUCGCAAGACCAAAGAUUUAUCGCCCAAAGAUGAGCCCGCGUAGGAUUAGCUAGUUGGUGAGGUAAAGGCUCACCAAGGCGACGAUCCUUAGCUGGUCUGAGAGGAUGAUCAGCCACACUGGGACUGAGACACGGCCCAGACUCCUACGGGAGGCAGCAGUGGGGAAUAUUGGACAAUGGGCGAAAGCCUGAUCCAGCAAUGCCGCGUGAGUGAUGAAGGCCUUAGGGUUGUAAAGCUCUUUUACCCGGGAUGAUAAUGACAGUACCGGGAGAAUAAGCUCCGGCUAACUCCGUGCCAGCAGCCGCUGU
rnacentral:rRNA from 1 species